GGGACAACCUCUCAUUGCCAUGACGGCAGAGAUCAAGUACCAGUUCCAACGGGCCCCAGUCCCCUCGGUGUCCUCUUGAGUUAGGGUCCCUCCUCUUGAAGAUACUCCUCCUCCUCUAACUCCUGAUACCUUGAGGUUCUCUCCUAUUGAUAGUUUUGAGAGUUCAGUGGCUUCUGCUUCAGAUCUUAAGGAGGUACCAGCUGGGGAUAAGUCAAUGCAGUUAAGGUUGAAGGACAGUGUUUUGAUGCUCAUAUGGAUUCUCCUAUACCUGGUCUACAGUAUGUGAUGGGUACUGAUACUAAUCCUGAACUAUAUGAUACAAUAGUAAUGUCUAAUCUUGGUUAUUUCCAGCUAAAGGGUAAGCCAGGAGCAUGGAAGCUGAGACUAAGAGAAGGAAGAUCAUCAGAAGUAUAUCAAAUAUUAAGGUACAACUGUUUGUACAAUAUA